AUCUGGCUGGCUCAGUCAGUAGAGCAUGUGACUCUUGAUCUCAGGGUUGUGAGUUCGAGCCCCAUGUUGGGUG
rnacentral:tRNA from 1 species